UAUCCGGAUUUACUGGGUGUAAAGGGAGCGCAGGCGGGACUGCAAGUUGGAUGUGAAAUACCGUGGCUUAACCACGGAACUGCAUCCAAAACUGUAGUUCUUGAGUGAAGUAGAGGCAAGCGGAAUUCCGAGUGUAGCGGUGAAAUGCGUAGAUAUUCGGAGGAACACCAGUGGCGAAGGCGGCUUGCUGGGCUUUAACUGACGCUGAGGCUCGAAAGUGUGGGGAGCAAACAGGAUUAGAUACCCUGGUAGUCCACACUGUAAACGAUGAUAGCUAGGUGUGGGGGGUCUGACCCCUUCCGUGCCGGAGUUAACGCAAUAAGCUAUCCACCUGGGGAGUACGACCGCAAGGUUGAAACUCAAAGGAAUUGACGGGGGCCCGCACAAGCAGUGGAGUAUGUGGUUUAAUUCGACGCAACGCGAAGAACCUUACCAAGUCUUGACAUCCUGCGACGGUUCUGGAAACAGAACUUUCCUUCGGGACGCAGAGACAGGUGGUGCAUGGUUGUCGUCAGCUCGUGUCGUGAGAUGUUGGGUUAAGUCCCGCAACGAGCGCAACCCCUGCCAUUAGUUGCUACGCAAGAGCACUCUAAUGGGACCGCUACCGACAAGGUGGAGGAAGGUGGGGACGACGUCAAAUCAUCAUGCCCUUUAUGACUUGGGCUACACACGUACUACAAUGGCGUUAAACAAAGAGAAGCAAGACCGCGAGGUGGAGCAAAACUCAGAAACAACGUCCCAGUUCGGACUGCAGGCUGCAACUCGCCUGCACGAAG
rnacentral:rRNA from 1 species